rnacentral:lncRNA from 1 species
GCAUUUGUAACCAACCCAAAACAAUCUUCUUCCAUAAUAAAACUUUUUCCUCUGCUUUAGUUGAAUUUUUCGAUCUUAGUUAAUGAUCUUGGGCUAGCAGAAGGUCUCUCCAAUUACGCCUUUCUUCUGCUAUUCUCUAUUAAAAACUUAUAUUCCAGUAUCACAUCUUACAGUUGAUCCUCAGAAAAAAACAAUUUUAAUUACAUGUCAUUUCAGUGAAAAGCACUUUGAAAGGCAAUUGCAAUGGAUUCAUGCAUGUUGCUCGCGAAGCUGGAGCUUUGCUAGAGCAAAAGUCUAGGAUUCAACCACCAUCCAACCGAGUUGAGUACUUUCAGGGAUUAUGAUCAGGAUUUGUGAAUCUGACAGCGUUUGAGUAUCAAACCAGUAGCCUCCACCUAUCAAAGAACAGAUAAGGGACUGAUUUAUAAAGGCGUCUGGUACUGAUAGCUGAUGCCCAAUCAUACUUUUCUCAACCGAGUUGGAGUACUUAAGGGAUUAUGAUCAGAGGUGGAGCCAAGAUUUCAAGUAAGGGGGUUUAAUAUUCAAAGAAAAUUAAUUCGAAUGGGGUUUCAACACCUACUUUAACCACAUAAAAAAUAAAUUUAAUCAUGUAUAAAUAGUAUAUUUUUCCGUCGAAGAGGGUUCGGACAAACUCCUAAAGGGGCUGGCUCCGUCUCUGAUUAUGAUCAGACAUUUGUGCAGCUGACAGAUUGGAUUAUCGCAUCAGCAGCCUCCACCGAUUGAUACAUAGGGAUGGGACUAAUUCACAGAGGAGUUUGGCACUGACUGCUGAUGCCCUAUUGUACUCGUUUGAGUCUGCUAUCAAUCCCUUUGAUCAAACAAAGAAGACCAGUCAAGUCAUGCUUCUCUAUUACUGUACUCGACCUGCACUUUGGAUAGUUUCUGGAGUAUGACCCUCGUCUCUUCAUUGAUUUAUGUGUUGAAAGAAGGGAAAUCUGCUCAGCCCAUGCAACCAACACUGUGAAAAUAUUGUUAACUAACUUCCGGAAAGUAGUUAAUAACUAACUUUAUACCUUGUAGCUAAUUGAGUUAGUUAAGUGGUUAGCCUCUAGAAUCUUCCAUGAUCAUCUAUAUAUACAUGCUAAAUACACUUUGUAAGACACAAGAAUAAGGUUCAAUCAAUGAAAUAAUAUCCACUCUUCUCCUACUCUACAGUUUCUCUAUUCUUCCUUCUUCCUCAUUUCAGAUUACAGAGUUUACCAUGUACAAACUCUGAUUAAGUUCAUGGCAUCAAAACAUAAUCAAUUCUAUUUGUUCAUCUCUAAUAGUGAGAUUCUUCUUCCACAAAGUUACAAGUUCUGAAACUACAAAGAUCACACAGAAUUCAGUUAAAGAAUAUCAAUAAAACAGUUUACAACCAUGGUGAUAUCUUCUAACAACGGUGCAAAUGCCGAGGAGUCUGAAAACUCA